UUUGACAAUGCUUUUUGUACUAGCACUUCAAAAGAAUUAUUUAUUAAACAUGAAGUUGCUUUACUUUACAAUUAAUUAUUUUUAAAGCACAAUAAAAUUAAAUUUUUUAAAAAAGUCACAUCAAUCUCAAAUUCCCCUUCUUUCUUGUCCGUCUCCAAAUGGUAAACUGGUAAUCUAGCUUUUGACCCCCAAAAAAAUGGAAAUCUAGUGGGCCUUUCAUAAGAUAAUGUCAUUAUCAUUGUGUGAGUAUAUUCCGUGUAAUUGAGUAAUGAAAGAUAUCGAUCGCGUUGGGAAUUGGGGAAAGUUAGAAAUAUUUAAGAGACGGAUUUACUCCCUCAAUUAAUGUAAUUUAUGGGUUUUCAAGAAUUAAAUGACGGAUUUUAAUGUGGAACACACAUAAAUUUGUAUACCUGAUGUAAAUUUAAGAGUUGGAAUAAUUUUAAUAUCCAUUAUAGGCAAAUGAACAUGCCAUGCUAUAGGUGUGUGCCCAAUUUCAUUGUGGAGAACGUAGCCGUAGGAGAGCAUGCGUCCAACCCCAAAUUCCCUUUCUUCCUCACCUUGCUCCAACCUGUAGCUGCCAAAAUGUAGGUAAGCAACAGCCUACAUUACGGGUCCAAUAAUGUACAAUUUUGGCAAAGUCCAAUUACUUUAAUGAUGGAAUGAUUGUAUAGUUAAAUCUUACUUAAUAAGAUAAGAGUGAGAGUCAAAUUUAUACGGUGCAUAUUUAUUUCAUGUGUCAAUGCCAAUUAUAUUACAUAUUUUAAUUGAAUAAUACGGACCAUUUAACUUGACACAUGCAAAAUUAUAGAUGAGCUUGUAAUUGUAACAUUAAGAUUCACACAAAAAACGAAACUCACAAUAUUUAGCUGAAUGGAAAAUGUUUUCAAGAUGCAUCUAUCAUAAGUUCUAGCUGUGAACAUUAUUAUAUGGCAGUGUCCCAUCCCAUGGUCUCCCCAAGACUCACAACCCAACAUUUUCUUUUUCUUUUUCUUUUUCUUUUAUUUUUUUAUUUUUAUAAAACGCAACCCAACUUUAAAAAUAUGAUCCAUAAUUGCAUAUUGUCAAACCAACAGUGAAAAAAAAAAAAAAAAAAAGGGAAGCAGGAACCGACGCUCUAGAUUCAACAAUUUUAUUUGGUCAACACACAAAUAUUUAAGCUUGGCUUAUAUACGGUCUAUAAUCGGCCACAGGAACCGGACAUCAAGGACAAUUGUCUGAUAACGUGAAAUCCACGACUCUGGUUAAACUUACCAUGGUUAGUUCACUAUAACCAUACUACAACGAACCGGUUCACCAGAAAAAUAAAAUUAAAAAAUUAAAAAAUUAAAAAAAGGUAAAGGAUGAAUAAAAAAAUAAUUGGGUAAUGCAAAUUAUUGCCACUUAACGGAGUAGUAGAUUCUGUUAGAUUCAUUUGACGAGGCGAAGAGGGGGCGCAUAGUAAGAACGUUGUAACGAGGUUUAAAAGAGACGGAGCUGACGGUUUAAGAUAGGGAGACGCGGGAGCCGUUGGAUUGUUGAUCAAGGGCCGAUAAUGCAAGGCGUUGGACGGUUCAAGUGUGACGGAGAGUGGGAGGGGUCGUAUAAAGCCUGGGUUUUGAAAGGUGAGAGUGCAUUUCGUUCCAUCAAAACAAGAAGAAGAAAGAGGAAGAAGAAGGAGAAAGAGCCUCUCUGACGUUUUGGCCUUCGGUUUUUCUUCUGCUUUAGAAUUUAAAGAGGAAUUCGGGAGAGAAUUCGUAGAGCUGGACUGUGUGUAAUGUUAAGGAUCUAAUUACGAAGCUUUUCUGUGAGCCUGUUGUGUGUUCGCGGGAGAGAGAAGGAGAGAAGAGCUUGCAGAGGUUGGUGAUGGAGAAAACAGAGCUCGAUUUUGGUAGUUUUAAUGUAAUCUGAUUUCUUAGAAUGACCGGGUUAUUUUGUGCAAUUUCUGUUUUGCAGAUACAUUCAGAAGAGCUUUUGGAGGAAUUUGAAGUGAAAUCGAUUGCGAUUUGCUGGGAUAAUUUCCAAGGUGGACCUCAUUUCAUUGAAAUUUACAGAGAAAAGGUCGAGAAAUCUAGUUUAGAGGUGAGGGGAGUUGGAUUUGCUUAAUUUCCUAAACGAUUUCACUCCCUUAUUCUAACUCAUCGUUCGUUUGAUUUUGGUUUCACAGGUACAUUUCCCGGAGAUUUGACCCCUUUUUUUUGAAGAAAUCUCAACUGGGGUAUGAGAUAAAGAAGAACAAGCAUCUCUCAUUCAUGAGUGUCAGGGACAUAGGCUCUAAGUUUCAAUCAUUUCGUUGAUUUUCGGCUCUAGAUUUGCAUUUUGCAAAGUCAGAAGGCCUAGAAGAGCAAGAUUACCCAAAAGAAGCAAACUUUCUUUUGCAAAUUCAGGAUUGUAGCUGCUUGCGAAAUCUCAGUAUAACAGGUGAGGAUUCAUUUUCCGAAUCCUAGAUCAGUGAAACCAAGUCUCGGGCUUAGGAUUUCACUGGCUGAUUUGAUUUCCUUCCAUUUUCGGUUCUUCGAAUUUUGAUAUCUUUCUACUCAAUUUGGUUUCUUCAAGGAGGCUCUCACUUUUCUCUUCUUUUUCCUCAUCUGCAGCAGAGUCCAAGCAAUUGGUUUCUCUGUUUUUUGAUUUUCGAUGUUCAAAAGCAGAUAACUUUGCAACAGAAUUUUAAGCUUUUCAAAUGAAGCCAGCCGAGUUCCUUGACUCUCUCUCUCUCUCUCUCUCUCUCUCUCUCUCUCUCUCUCUCUCGCUCGCUGGGUCUUACAUUUGGAUCCAUCAUCUUUGUCCAUCAUCUUCUUUCAAUUUUCUGUCAUCUGCCUUCUGUGCAAGAAUUUUCAAUUUCAAAAAACUAAUUGACCUUUAUAUUUGGGAAGAUUAUCUCUUCUUCUUCGUCUUCUUCUUCUUCCUCUCCUCCUCCUCCCCAUUUUAAAGGCUUUUAAUAUAUUUUUCUGAAUGAUUUCCGUCUGUAUUAUCAGCAUUGAAAAGAAAAGACCUUCUCUAUGAAAUUUUACCCGCUGUUUUGUGAAAAAUCUAUCUAUCUUUGGUGUUCUUUGCUGGCAGUCCGAAGUUUGUGUCUUUUCCGAAAUUCAAACACCAGCAGAGUGCAAAAUCUUCUGUUUGGUUCUCGGGAAACUGAUACAAGAAAAAACUGAGCUAACAGACGUAAUUGCUCAACUUAUUUAAUCGCAAUUCGUUGGAAGCGUCUGAUAAAAAAAAUAUAUAUAUAUAUCAAAGAUACAAUUUUCAUUCUUUGUCCUUUCCCUGCCUUUUUUUUUUUUCGAUCUUCAUCUUCUCCGUCUGUUUGGGUAGGCCCUGCUUUUCAUUUGAAUUUUAUUUUUAGGCACUCGCAGUUGCAGAGAGCCAGCCACAAUCCAAUUCCAGAUUCUCAGUUUUUGCCAUUUCCGUCCCUAACUUUAAUUAUGAGCAUUAACCGCGGUUAAAGUGUAAAAAAUCAUGUUAACUAACUAACCGCUGUGAUUAAUUCUUGUUUUGGCAUGGGUGGACAGGUGUACAAAAGGAGAUGGAAAGGGACUGUCUUAGGCACACCCAUACUAAAGACACCCACAAUCCCAACACUCGAGACAAAACCGGAGGGGACGCCUCAGCCUCUCUGCUGUUGAGAGCGAGCCCCGAUGCCAUACGACACGCAACGACGUCGUCCGAUUUCGUUUUGCAGUGGGGGAACCGCAAGCGCCUCAGGUGUAUGAAGAUCCAGGUCAAAGACAAGGGCAAAGACGACUCCGACGCCCCGGUUACCCGAACCACAGUCCGGGUCGACCGCCGGGUCGUCCGACCUGAUAAGGACCCGGCCAAUCAGCCUUCCACGGCCGGUAACUCUAAUCAGACGAAUGGGUAUUUGAAUCUCCGUCAACGGCCGUUAUCUCCGCAGCAGCCGCCACUUCAGCGUGUUCUCAGGUUACCACUUGCACUUCACGCUUUUGCUUUAUCUAAUCUAUAUCUAUUGCUUCCACGGGACGUCGUUUCGGUCCUGCCUUUCGUUAACAUGUAGUUUCGUCGUUUUGUGGGGUAGUUGUGGUGGCGUUUUGUCGUUUAAAUUAGUGGCGGGUGGGCCAGGUGCGUGGGUUUUGUCGUUUUUAGUUAUUUUGGGACUUGUUGCCUACGGUUACAUCUGUACAGUUUUGGUGCGGUUUUUAUAUAUACCUUGAUCUCACCGUCAGAUGCAUGAGUCAUAAUCAUCAGAUCAGGAGAUUUUAUAUUCAGACUUGCUUGAUUUUAGAUUUUAGAUUUGUGAGGAAAAAUCUCAGAUGAUUGCGUGGCCAAUUUCUCUACGUCUGUGAAGGUCAAAGAGAAUAAUUUUGUUAGGUAAGUGUUUGUUGCUUUGAUUAGAUUAUUUCAUAUGCAACAAUAGAGUGAUUGCAAAUUCUGUUAUCUUCUUCCUUGUUUGGUUGAAGAGAAAAUCUUGUUUGCGUGAAGGGAAAAUCUCUGAUUUUCUUGUGCAAAUUUGUCGCUUUAGAUUGGAUUGAUUUAUAUGAGUGGGACUGGAUAAAUGGAUAAGGCUAGAAAGCAUGGAAUUUUGUCCCACACCACUGGUUUUUUAUAUUCCUGGCCUGCCAUUAACAUGGCUGUGUUUAAUCCUAUGUGCUUAAUGUGUAGUUGAAUGAAAUUUUGUCGGAGGGUUUUUGAGAUUAGGAGUUUUAAUGAUGAAAUUUGGGGCUGAAUUUGUUGUGAGGCUUAUCUUAAUGAUCAACUCUCCAAUUGGUCAGGUGGGUGAAGAGAUGUAAAAGCCCCAGAAGGAGAGCUCAUGGUAAGUGCAUGAGGGUAGGGUGCCUUCUUUGUUUGUCUUUGUAGGAAACUAGUAGCAUAUGAUUGAAUUAGGUUGCUCAUGUAGUCAUGUAAUCUUUUUGGCUUGAUUGUGCACAACAUAAAACACAUUAACAUAACAAACAACUUAAAUUAGAGAAAGAGAGAGUCUUAGUGCCAUAAGGUCAAGCAUUUACCCUCACAUUCACGGCAAGAGUUUGAUUCUUCCUCGUUCGUGUUUUUCAGGAUGCGGUAUUAAAUUAUGGUAUCAUACAGGAUGGUGUAUCAAUAAGUUGAUGUCAAGCAUGAUUGAUUUGAUACUAGUUCUAGUUUUCUUUUUUGGAAUAAAUGCCUUAUUUAUUGUGAUUGAUUUGUUAUUUAUUUUAGACACGAUGUUAGGGCUGAUUUGAUCAUAAAUCUAGAAUGAUUAGGCUUGAGUAAAUUGAUUUCCACUAGGACUUGUGUAGCAGGCUUAUGUUGCUCAUGGUCACACCGGAUCGGGGCUCCACUACAUCUUAGCAUGAUAGCGUCCGAUCCAUAACGACCGGCACCCUGAUUCCAUGGGCUCAGUGGAAAUAGGAAAUGGGCAACUCCUAUUCCACGUGUCCACGGAAAACCAAUUCUUCAACCCCGUUUCUAGCCCUGGGAUCACUGAUGGAUCAGGCAAUGGAUCCACGCCUUCCACGUUUCAACACGUGUUCCUUAACCCCACAAAAGGCACUCUCAAUCCAACGGCUAAAAUCCUGCCCAAAAACCAGCUGUGCACGUUAUACAGUACAUCACAUCCCUUUCCUCUCUCUCUCUCUCUCUCUCUCUCUCUCUCUCAAAUAUCUAACUUUUCAUUAAAGAAAAGAAAAUUAACAACUCCCUCGUUUAAAAGCAGAACACAAAGGUCCCCCAAAGAAGCCAAAAACCACGCUAAUUUUCUACGCAAAACCCAUUACAAAGCCUCUCUCUCUCUCUCUCUCUCUCUCUCUCUCUCACACCAAUCCACCGAUCUAGAUCGUCUCAAGGCCAUUCCCGUAAUUUCACAACUACCCACAUUAAUUUAAUUUAAUUUAAUUUUUUGCCCAAAAAGUAUCAUUUAUUAUGUUUUGUGCCAGCUUUUUUAUGGGUUUAUUGAAUUCAAUUGAUUUGAUUUGAUUUGAUUUUGAUAUGCGUAUCUGAAUUGUGUAGAAACUCAGAGACCACAACAAGUGCCAUGAGAGGCCAGAGCAACGGAGGCUUGAGGGGAAUUGUUUCACCCGACAACAGAGGGGGUGCGCACGAUAAGAAAGGCAACCACCACCAUCACAACCACCACCACCAUAAUAAUGAGAAUAACAACACCAAGUCUGCAGCUUCUUCGGACACGGCGCACGAUAGUAAAAAGGGGGGAGGUGGGUCUUCAUCGGGAAGCGGCGAAGCAGCGUUGGCGCCACCGAUGGUCUGGCCGCCGAAGUUCGUGAUUGCUUUGACCAACAAAGAGAAAGAAGAGGACUUCAUGGCAAUCAAAGGGUCAAAAUUGCCUCAGAGACCCAAGAAGAGAGCAAAGUUCAUUCAACGCACCCUCAAUGUAAGCUCCUCUAUUUUCCUUUUUUAGUUACUUUAUUAAUUAAUUAGUAUUAAUUAAAACUAACUAGUUUUUUUUAUUUUUUUUCUUUCUCUUUUUAAAAUAACACCAUUGCCUUGCAAAAACAAAUCAAAACCCAGUUUGAUUUUAUUAUAUUUAUAUGGUUGUUUUACCUGUAUUUAUGCAAAUUGUUGUUGCGACAAAAUGUGGACUAGCUUAGAAGGAAGGAAAAGCAAAAAAUAAUAAAAUAAUAGAAUAAUAAAUAGAACUUUCUGGUAUUUGUUUAGUUUGGGUUAAAAGAAGCCGAAGAAGAUUGCUAAAGUGACAGCAAGAACAAGGCAUACACGUGUCCGCCAAGCCAUGUAUGCAUAUACCUAAUAUGCCUAAAAGUUAGUUUGCUGUCCGACUGGAAUAGUAUUAAUAGGACGAUGGUUUGGGUUAAGAUUAAAUUCUAUAUUAUUCAUAAUAAUAUGAUAAUGAAAUAUUUUAUUUAGGGUCGCCUCGUUUAGUGGAAAAUUGAUGUCACACGUGGCAAUACAUGGUUGUUGCUUUUGGGUUGGUUAUCGUGGCGAUGGACGGUGCGUGGCGUCUCAUGUGGCCGCAUGUGAUUUAGUGGGCAUCAGUGGACGUUUAAAGCAAGUGGGCCUUAAUUCUGUACUAACCGACAAAAAAAGGGCAUAUGGGUCGAAACGGACCCUGGGCCUGUUACCGUUGGUUUUUUUUUGGGGGGUUCUUUUUGGGAAAUAAUAUGCUUCAUGUUGAGGGCAUAUAGGUAUUUUCACUAGCCCUUAAUUAUGCUAACUGUUUUCUGGCUUGGACCGCACUGCCAACUGCUGAGCACAAAAGCACGAAAGCUGACUACCCACAAUGCACCGUUUUCGUUUUUUAAGUUCCAAACAUAGCAAAACUCAUCAAAGUGCUUAUCAAAAAGCCUAUCCCGCUUUUUGCCCAUUACCUAAAGCAAAAGCUACGCUUUUGCCAGUCUGUUUUUGCUUGUUUUGGCCUCUUCCUUUUAAUUAGCUGGAAGAUUAUUGUUCUAAUUAGUUUUUUAUUUUCUGUAAUUUUGUUUUAUAGCUGGUAAGCCCAGGAGCAUGGCUCUGUGAUCUGACCCUAGAACGGUACGAGGUCAGAGAGAAGAAGAUUUCCAAGAAGGUAUUUUAUUGAGUAAUUUUCUUCGAUUCAGGGCCUAAAUCAAAUUUCCUUAAUUUGCCUUUAAUGUUGAUAUUUUUAUGCAGCAGAAUGAAUAGUUUUUUUGUGUUUUUGCAUGAUGCUGCAGAGACCAAGAGGGCUAAAGGCGAUGGGCAACGUGGAGUCUGACUCUGAAUAGAAAGGAGUUUUAGUGAAAAGACUAAUAUAGCAUUUUCGUUUUUUUUCUCCUCCUUUUUUUGAAGGUAUGAGAAAAAUGUUAGAACUUUGUAAAAAUCUUCACCUUUCAACCAUCAGAAUAAUGAAUGGAUUCAUUUCCGGUCCUGUAUACAGUCUUGUUCCUCAUCUUCCUACUAAGUUUGUUUAAUCAGAACAAGAAAAAAAAAACAAAUCAUCACGUCCAAGCACACGAACAAAUGAAAUUUCUCUCUUUCAAACCCUAAUUGUGAAAAAUAAUUAAAAUAAGCUUCAGGGAUGUAAUUCAAGUGGUUAGUCAUGACAUGUUACACAAUCCAACAAUUUUUUGUUUUCUUGUCAACCUACAACACAUUUUCUUAUGUCGUAUUAAGUUAGAAAAGGGAAUUAACGGUGUUGGAUAGUCGUCCAAACGCACGUGAGUGUCUUAUGAUUGUUCAUAUAUUAACAUAUGGGUCUCAGUCUAACAUACAUCGAUGACUUACGGUGGAAGUGCUCAUUAGGCAUGGGCAAAAUCAGUUUCAGACUUCACCAUCCGAGUGAAAAAGAAACUCGAGACUCGAUCGCUCUCAAGAUGUGAAGAAAAUCACGAAAUUGACUCUUGAGACGAGAUUUGAGACUCUUUAGAGGUUAGACUUCAAGAAGGAAGAAGAAAAACAACAAACCAUAACUCUCUUUAGCUGACACACGUAACGUAAAACCACAAUAUAUGAAUUUGCAAAGCUAUUAAAGACAAUGACAUCUAAAAAUUUACCCGAGACAGGAGAAAAACCAGAACCCCAACUCCCUAAAGUUACCUAGUCAUUAGCAAAUUGAAGGGCCACGUCUAAUUUAUAAUGAUAAGAGAUAAUAUCAUUGUUUGGUCGCAUGAUUUGUGGAUGCCACUUUACAUUAUGUGGCCUCCUUAAUUGGUAUUUUGAUGUGACACGGAACACUUAACGCGGUAAUUUAAUUUCUUAACGUAAUUGACAAUUUCAAUGAAAAUCCAUGACCUAUCAUAUCAGACCACCAAACCAAACCCAACUGAAUUAAACUAUUGGAAGAGGAGAAAACAUGGGUCCUAAUUCAAAUUAACAUUCAUAAUUCGCCAUCAUUGACGGGAAGACCCGAAUUAAUCCCCUUAAUUAUGCCACGAAGAAGCAUAAACACAUUUUAAGAAUAACAUCUGCUCUGUGAGAGUUUGUGGAGACAGACAGAUCCACCACCCACCAUCCAGCUGGUUCUCAAAAGGCAAUUCUAAUGCUACCUGCGGGUCGUGAAGAAAAGAGGAAGAUUUUUCAAUUUAAUUAGCCCCCAAAAAAUAGCAUGGAAAAUACCCCCAAAGGGCCCUAAAUAUACCCUUACCCACUGGGCAUAUUUGUCAAUAAACACUGAAAUUAGGGAUUUUUUCAGGACCCAAACACAAUUGCUAUAGUCGGUGACCCAGAGCCUAUCAAAUUAUAAACUCAUUACGUGUUGCAGUUGGAAUUACAGCUUUAUUCUGUUAGAAUAAAUGAUUAAUUUACACCGACUUGGCUACGCCGCUUUUUUGGUCCAAGCGAAAAUAAAAUAAUUGGAUCUGGAUUUGUAAUUUGCCGCUUUUUAUUUGCAGGUAAUGAAAAUGAAAUAACAAUUUGGAUAUUAGUUAAUUUUGAUAUCACAAGCUAGACAAACACCAUUCUCAAAGCAACUCAAGCAUCAAACACAGGAGGAGGAGGAGGAGGAAGACAAACGAAAUAAAAUCAAUGAAUUAUUUACUCAUAAUAAGGAUAAUAAUCGAAAUCCACAAAUACAAAACCCAUAGUAAUAAACCAAGUGCAUUAUAUAUGUAGUCUAUGCACCACAAAAACCCAUAUGACACUGAAAAUCCUAUAGAUCCAUAAUCACCAGCUACUAAAAUGACAAACGCUACUAAUAAAAAACCAAUCAGAAACCCAACCGCUCUCUACACAGCCCCAACCAUAGUUGCAGUAGUAAGCGAAGACUCAAACCCUGAGCGCAGAUCCGAAGACGAUAGCGGCGAAGGCGGCGGCGAAAGCAGAGAUGAACGACGGGGAGAUGGAGGCGGAUGCGGAGGUUGGGCUAGGAGCUGGAGAUUCGGCGGCCUGAGCGGCGCCGAUGACAGAAAGGACGGUGACGAAGACCGCCAUGAGAGCCACGAGUGAAGUUGCCUUUGAGACUGCCAUUGUUGAUUGGUGUGAGAGUUUCUUGUGCUUCGGAAUCUAGGGUUUUGGGAAUACGCCGAGAGACUGAAGCACAAAUAUCAGAGGUGGAAUGAAGUAGGCUCAAGGAACGUAUUUAUAGCGGGGAUUUUGGGCUGGGGUCGGGCAGCCUGGGCAGCUGCCCGGUUCUACAGGCUGGCUACUUGUGAUUGGUUCAGCGCGACAGCUCACACCGCUGGUCGGGGUAAAUUUUUCUCUGUGGGCCCCACUAGAAACCAGUGUCUACGCGGAGUCGUUU
rnacentral:lncRNA from 1 species